CACGCAAGCGGGAGACUUAAGCUCUGUGAGGAAAAAUAGAGAGACAGAGAGAGAGGGAAAAAAAGGUGCUGCUAUUUCUACAGUCAGGGCCUCCCCAUAGCCCGCCCUUCCAUAGACAGAGCUGAUUUUUCUUUUUUUUUUCACUCACUACUAACUGGAUUUUAACCCUCUGCUUCCAACCAACUGCACGGCAGCCGCUCUGCAAAACCUGGCAACAAGUUGAUAUUUUAGAGGCCCUUUUCUCACUUUUGCCCCAUAGAUUUUUGCAUCUCUUUGGAUUCUCUCGCCUCUUACUCCAUUAUUUUUCCUUUUUUUUUUUAAUUAACGAAAUAUCCUAACUUUUUUCUAUCCAUUUAUGGGUUUUCUGUAGUAUUUUUUUUUGCCUUCUCUGUUUUCUUUUGGAUGGCUUUUUAACUUCUUUAUUUUUGGGGGAAAUAAAUUUUUGUCUCCGCUGGAUCGGAGAACCGGGGCGCCAUUUCGGGGUAACCUGCUUGUGGUAGGCUUGUGGUCUAGAUUGCAAUAGGAAAAUGUGGCCUGUGUGUCUAAAGAUGGUUGCAUGUUUGUGUUUUUAAAGAAGUGUCCACAUUCAGCACUUUUGACCUGCAUGAACCUCCGUACAGUGUUUGUUUUCACUUAGUUUUCCCCUUAUUUCCUUCCAGUGUCUUGCUGUUCACCGUCUCCCUGUGACUCCCAGUCACCCUCUCUGCUUCACACUGACUGAGGGGAAUGAGUGGAGAGCUGAGCUGAAGCGCUUUCUGUGACAGAGAUAUGGAUCUACGAGGAGGAGAGCUGGCGAAAAUUAUCCUGAGCAAGCAUUUGCAUCCUUGCUUUCAAAAAUUGGUUUUAGGAUGGAGUUUGAUCCUCUGGAGCUAAUAUUUCACCAACAAGCUACGUCUUGCACAGUCAAAAACGGCAUUAUGAGGACUACCUGAUGUGCUGCUGAAACCGUGACAGGGGGUGAAGGCAGGAGGCCAGCCGACCCCCUUCACCCCCACCGCCGCCGCUCCGCACUGCAUGGUACGUGGCAGGUGAGAAGCGUUAACAGAGGCAGCAGCUGUGGCCCUGUGCUCCACACAUGUGGGCCGGGAUGUGAGCUUUGUUGAGUUCAGCCACUCUCUCAGUAAUGUUAACACACUUGUUUUAGAAACAAAGAAAACAGCUCUAAGAAACAAGAAACCCUACAGAGCAUUGUACAUGUCACACUGUUUUUUUUAAUGGCUCACAGAUGUAUCAUACCUCCUGAACUUGAACACAUUUUUCCAAUGUUACAAACAAAAACUUUAAGUAUUUUUCUGAGCCUUAAUCUGAUAAGCAAACAAAGUCAUGCAGUGUCCUCAAUAAGAAGGUAAAAGAUACAUGGUUUUCAAAUGCUUUUACAAAUAAAAAUCUGAAAAAUGUGACGUGCAUUUGCAUUCAGCUCCCUUAUCUAUGAUACCCUUAAAUAAAACCCGGUACCACCAAUUGCCUUUACUUAAGUAGUAAAUAUAGUCCACCCUUGUGUAAUUCAAUCUCUGUAUGCGCAUUACAAUUGUUUGCAGUUUGCCACAAGCCCAGUACAAAACAUCAUAAACGCAUGGAGCUCUGGUCAGGUGAGGGCAAUAGAGGACUUUUUGGCCUUCAUGCAAAGCGCUAUAUGUGGUGGUAAGCUAAUACUACACAUCUCCCUGAGCUCACCAUCCCUACUGUGAAACGUGGUAAUGGCAGCAUGAUGCUGUGGAGACAUUUUUUUUUCAGUAGGGUCUGGGAAGCUGGUCAAGGUUGGUGGUAAGAUGGAUAGAACUAAAUACAGGACAAUCCAGGAAGAGGCAGUGAAAAAUUCGAGCUACAAUGAAAUGGUUUAGAUCAACGCAGCUUUAUGUGAAUGGCCUAGUCAAAGUCCAGACCUAAAUCCUGUUGAGAAUCUGUGACAACUGCUUUUCAAACCACUCUUCAUCCAACCUGACUGAGGUUGAACUGGUUUGCAAAGAAGAAUGAGGAAAGAUUUUGGUGUCUAGAUGAGCAAAGCUGGUAGAGACAAACCCCAAAAGAUCUUCGCCUGUAAUUGUCAUUUUGCCUAGCAGUUGUGCACGUCUCUACUUGAGGCCAGUCCAUGCUAGAGAAAUGCCUCUCACAGCAUGAUGCUCGCAUCACAAUAUUUUACAGUGGCUAUGGUGUGUUCAGAGUGUGUGCAGUGUUAGUUUUCCACCACACACAACAUUUUGAACAUAGGUCAAAAAGUUUGGUUUUGGUCUCAUCUAACCAGAACACCUUCUUCAACAUGUUUGCUAUGUCCCUUAUGUGGCUUGUGGAAUACUACAAACACCACUUCUUUUGGUUGUUAUGGCUUUUUUCUUUUUUACAUAUUUAUGUAUUCAAAAUAAAAUUACAAACUACCUAAUUGUCCAAUUAGGAAAUUCCUGAAUGGGUUUCACUGAGUUUCUUUUCAAGGUAUCUGACUACAGGCAUCUGAAUAAAAAUGCGUACCACGCCAUUAAGUUUUUUAUUUGUAAAAACGAUUAUUCAUUUUCCUUAAAUUUUAUAAUUAUGCACUGCCUUGUGUUGAUUUAUCUUAUGAAAUACCAACAAAGUACACUGAGGUUUGUGGUUGCAACAUGAUGUGAAAAGUUUUAAGGAGGUAUGAAUAUUUUUGAACGAUACUGGAUUCUUAUCUCAUCUUAUGUUGACUUGGUUUAUAAUUUUGAGGUUUGAGGUGCUCAUUUAUUUGGUUUUAAUUGUCCUUUAAAUCAGCUCCAUCAGCCUUCAUUCCUAAAUACAAAGGGGGAGCAUCAGCAAGUGAUGUUUUUUUUAAUGUAACACCAUAUUGUUAUACUUUUGUGGUUAAACCUUUAGUCCUAAAUAUGCCUGCAGCAUAUAAGUUACAUACAGGUUGCAUUUGAAUAUGAAAAUAACUUUGCCCUGCAAUUUGUUUGCGAAAUGGGUGCCCCCGGUCAGAUCAUUUGAAUUUCCCUUCAGCCUGAGCCAUGAACUCCAAGGCCCAGUUGUGACAUUGUGCUCUCAGCACACAGGCUCUUUUCAUGGCGCAGCGUCCCAGAGGAGAGCGGUGCGCGUGUUUGUGUUUCUGUGAAUCAUAACUGCUGCUUUGCAUUCAGCGAGGUGUGUCGAAGCGGAUUACAGGCAUGAACUCAGGCUGGAGCUGAGAGAGCUGUGUUUCUUGUUUUGUUUUUUGUUUUUUUUCCAAGACUGUCCUUUGGGGUGAGGUAGUAGGUUGUAUAGUUUUAGGGUAACACCCUUCCAGUCAGAUAACUAUACAACUUACUGUCUUUCCUGAAGUGGCUGUAAUGUCGUCAGACGCCACCCCCCAGAGCUCUCUGACAGUGGCUCAACACCGGAAAUGGCAGGUUUACGGACAGACUGGACACAAGAUGUAACUGGGAUGCAAAAUUUGACCAUAGUUGCUAAGGUUUGUAGUAACUUUUGGUACUUUUCAUCUCAGUUGUAGCCUUUAUGUUAUACAAUCAUUACGAUUUGUUUGUCUUACUGUGCAGUGUUUUCUGUUAAAUCUCUUCUUGUUCAACUUCUUUUGUGAUGUUUGAAAUAUAAUAUAUGGUGAUGUUUGUAUAGGUGAAAAACGAUGUCAGUUCUUGUUGCUGAAAAAGACAUGUUUGUUAGAGAUUAUUGAGUUUGCCUAGACGUAGGACCUUUCUGAUGUUCGUACGGGGUGAGGUAGUAGGUUGUGUGGUUUCGGGGUAGUGAUUUUGCCCAAUCAGGAGAUAACUAUACAACCUACUGCCUUCCCCGAAGGGCAGCAAUCCUACACCAUACAGAAACCGACAAACCCAACCAACUCCAGCCACUGAGCCGUCUUUUACUGGACAACGGCCUUUUGAUUGUCAGUCAUGCAAAAGUAGCAGCAGGUAAAAACUUUGUUUCAACUCUAGGAUUUGUUAUUAAAUUUUGACUUUUUUGUUAGAAACAAAAAUAAAAGAAAUUAGAUCACCA